rnacentral:lncRNA from 1 species
AUUCAUUUCAGUAAUGCAGGGAGCCUUAUCCGUGCCUUGCUCUUUAUUUUUUUCAGAACCCUUUCGCUGUGUGGAACUUGUCAGGAGGCACCUGAUGGAAACACCGUGAAGCUGUAGACUGUCACAGUGCACGAACGACAGCUAGGAAGGGCAGUCACUCUGCACAGCGACAACUCCUCACCAGGAAAGGAGGUCUUCACAGAAUGACUUCAAUUUAUAGCAGGGCCUGGGUUCGAUCUCUGGUACAAAAGAAAGAAAGGAAGGAAGAAGGAAAGAAGGAAAGAAAGAAAGAAAGAAAGAAAGAAAGAAAGAAAGAAAGAAAGAAAGAAAGAAAGAAAGAAAGAAAGAAGAAAGAAAGACAGAGCCCCACCUCUGACACAAGAGUUUUUGGGACAUUCUAGACCCAAACAAUUUCAAUGCAUGUCUGAUGGUUGGCCACUUGCAUAUGUGGACCUGAUAACCUAUUCACACUGAGAGGUGGAAAGCCAAGCAGAGUUCUCCAGACAUAAAACAAGAGAAACAGAAGCAUCAACUGUUCCUGGGAGUGAAAGAUGCCGAUUUCUAUCCUCCAACCAAAUAUACACACAGGCACAGUGCAAAAAAAAAAAAAAAGAAUAUUUACAGGUGUUUUUCC